ensembl:snoRNA
CUGGCUCUGAAUCAAGGCCAGCAGCUUCCUGACACUGUUGGUUUCAAUCAGGAGUCUAAAGAGAUGACUUUCUAUGAUCUGUUGGCCAUUUCAGAACUUGGGCAGUGAAAGGGUCAAUUCAUGAAAAAGAUAGCUUG